rnacentral:rRNA from 1 species
GAUGAACGCUGGCGGCGUGCCUAAUACAUGCAAGUAGAACGCUGAAGGAGGAGCUUGCUCUUCUGGAUGAGUUGCGAACGGGUGAGUAACGCGUAGGUAACCUGCCUGGUAGCGGGGGAUAACUAUUGGAAACGAUAGCUAAUACCGCAUGACAACAGUUAUUGCAUGAUAACUGUUUAAAAGGGGCAACUGCUCCACUACCAGAUGGACCUGCGUUGUAUUAGCUAGUUGGUGAGGUAACGGCUCACCAAGGCGACGAUACAUAGCCGACCUGAGAGGGUGAUCGGCCACACUGGGUCUGAGACACGGCCCAGACUCCUACGGGAGGCAGCAGUAGGGAAUCUUCGGCAAUGGACGGAAGUCUGACCGAGCAACGCCGCGUGAGUGAAGAAGGGUUUCGGAUCGUAAAGCUCUGUUGUAAGAGAAGAACGAGUGUGAGAGUGGAAAGUUCACACUGUGACGGUAGCUUACCAGAAAGGGACGGCUAACUACGUG